UUUAUAAAUAUUCCGGUCUAUAAUAAAUUUAAAAAAUUUCCUAUAAUUACUUUUUAUAGUUAUCUUAAAUUUUUAAAAUGAUAACUUCUUAUUCGAUAAUAUUCUUAUUGGCAACUUUAUCUUUCAUUCCCAACGGGAAUACUAUGGCCCAGAAUUUUUCAAAUAAUAGCCGAAUAAUAGGAUCCUAUCAAAAUCAACAACAACAAAGGAACUCUAUUAUAAAUGAAUUUUGUGCUAAUAGAUGUGCCAAUUUUCAAAAUCAAGAUAGCAGAUGCUCUGUUUGUCCUAGCCAGAACCAGUCCAAUGCUAGUGCUAGGUUUCCACAUCGGCGUCAAUCCUAAUUUUUUGGGAGGAGAAGGGGGUGGUGUAACUUUGAAUAAUGCAAAUUUAUCACUUUAAAAUUAUAUAAUUAAAAUGUUUAGGAUUAAAUUUAAGUUCUAAAUAAGAUUUUGCAAGAAUGAAAUUAAGAAAAAAAUUA